GGGAUAACCCGGCGAAAGUCGGACUAAUACCGCAUGAAGCAGGGGCCCCGCAUGGGGAUAUUUGCUAAAGAUUCAUCGCUGAUAGAUAGGCAUGCGUUCCAUUAGGCAGUUGGCGGGGUAACGGCCCACCAAACCGACGAUGGAUAGGGGUUCUGAGAGGAAGGUCCCCCACAUUGGUACUGAGACACGGACCAAACUCCUA
rnacentral:rRNA from 1 species